GUGGGUCUCGGUCUUCCCGGGGAUCACGGGGUAUUCAGCUGCUGUGGAGGUCUGCAAACCCGCCGCUCUCCGCCCUGGGGGAUGCCAGGGAGCAUUUGUCCACAAACUGCCGACCACCUGGAAAUCUCUCUUCGCAGUCUCCCCACUCUUCCAGUUCCACGCGGAGAACUGGUCUCUAGGGCAAGCAUUACGUUUAGCUUAGCAUCCUCCUAAAGAUGCUGUUGAUGAAGACAACGAUAGCAAAAAUCAAGCCAUUUAGAGCCAAAGUACCCCCAAAUAGAAUGGAUGAAGCUGUACAGCACACCUAGCUUUCAUUGGACUCAUAUUGGCCUUAAAUCUUCAUAAAAUUGCCAUAUUCGUGAAAGACUUACAGCCUUUGAGCUUAACAAACUGAGAUUAAGUGGGACUCUCUGUUGGCAUCUUGAUGAUUUUCUUUUAUAUAUGGAAAAGGUAACCCUAAAACCAAAAGGAAAUUUAACUGCUUGCCUACCUGUCUGUUUGCCGGUUUUUCAAUUUAACGAGCAUUUAUCAAGACCCUUAUCCUCACUUCAAGAAGCAGCAGGGAUUAAUUAGUAUCUGUGAAUCCCAAAUCCCAGCAGAAAGAACCUUAUUGGUCUAGCUUAUGUCAGGCUGUCUAUUCUUGGUAUAGUCACCUUUAGCCAGUGGAGCAGUAUGUAGUCAGGGCUCUUUGUUUUGUAAUGUAAACAUGGCUGUCAGAGGCCCAUCCUUGUAGCCUGCAGUUCUCAAAGAAGGUUGGUUAUGUUCUUGGCAAAGUUUCCAAAAGGUAUAUACCACCGACCAAAAAAGGAGUAAAUUACAGCCUGAAAUUCAAAAGUGUAAAGAACAAUGGACGUGAUCAAGAAUUUUCCAACAAACUCCCACUCAAACUAUUUCAGGCCUAAAUUUCAAUGGCAUUCCCUCAAAGAAGCCAUUGCUGAUCCUCAGCCGCAAUUAAAAUUAUGUUGCCCCAUUUUUAUC